UGGCGUAAUGAUGGCCAGGCUGUCUCCACCCGAGACUCAGUGAAAUUGAACUCGCUGUGAAGAUGCAGUGUACCCGCGGCAAGACGGAAAGACCCCGUGAACCUUUACUAUAGCUUGACACUGAACAUUGAGCCUUGAUGUGUAGGAUAGGUGGGAGGCUUUGAAGUGUGGACGCCAGUCUGCAUGGAGCCGACCUUGAAAUACCACCCUUUAAUGUUUGAUGUUCUAACGUUGACCCGUAAUCCGGGUUGCGGACAGUGUCUGGUGGGUAGUUUGACUGGGGCGGUCUCCUCCUAAAGAGUAACGGAGGAGCACGAAGGUUGGCUAAUCCUGGUCGGACAUCAGGAGGUUAGUGCAAUGGCAUAAGCCAGCUUGACUGCGAGCGUGACGGCGCGAGCAGGUGCGAAAGCAGGUCAUAGUGAUCCGGUGGUUCUGAAUGGAAGGGCCAUCGCUCAACGGAUAAAAGGUACUCCGGGGAUAACAGGCUGAUACCGCCCAAGAGUUCAUAUCGACGGCGGUG
rnacentral:rRNA from 1 species